rnacentral:rRNA from 1 species
UUACAACUUUCAGCGAUGGAUGUCUCGGUUCGAUCAACGAUGAAGGGCGCAGCGAAGUGCGAUAAGCAUUGUGAAUUGCAGGAUUCCGUGAACCGACAGGGACUUGAACGCAUAUUGUGCUUUUGGGAUAUCCCUGAAAGCACGCCUUCUUCAGUGUCUGUGCUUUAUAAUUCCAGCACU